UACGAGUGCCCCCGAGCGUUAUCCGGAAUUAUUGGGCGUAAAGGGUGUGUAGGUGGUUGUGUUAGUCCUUUGUUAAAACUCUUGGCUUAACCAAGAAGGUGCGAAGGAAACGGCACGACUAGAGAGUGCGAGAGGUGAGCGGAACUCAUGGUGUAGGGGUGAAAUCCGUUAAUAUCAUGGGGAACACCGAAGGCGAAGGCAGCUCACUGGCGUACUUCUGACACUGAAACACGAAAAGCGUGGGUAGCGAAUGGG
rnacentral:rRNA from 1 species